rnacentral:rRNA from 1 species
AUUGAACGCUGGCGGCAUGCCUUACACAUGCAAGUCGAACGGCAGCGGGGGAGAAGCUUGCUUUUCCUGCCGGCGAGUGGCGAACGGGUGAGUAAUACAUCGGAACGUGCCCUGUAGUGGGGGAUAACUAGUCGAAAGAUUAGCUAAUACCGCAUACGACCUGAGGGUGAAAGUGGGGGACCGCAAGGCCUCAUGCUAUAGGAGCGGCCGAUGUCUGAUUAGCUAGUUGGUGGGGUAAAGGCCUACCAAGGCGACGAUCAGUAGCUGGUCUGAUAGGACGAUCAGCCACACUGGGACUGAGACACGGCCCAGACUCCUACGGGAGGCAGCAGUGGGAAAUUUUGGACAAUGGGCGAAAGCCUGAUCCAGCAAUGCCGCGUGUGUGAAGAAGGCCUUCGGGUUGUAAAGCACUUUUGUCCGGAAAGAAAUGGCUCUGGUUAAUACCUGGGGUCGAUGACGGUACCGGAAGAAUAAGGACCGGCUAACUACGUGCCAGCCGCCGCAGUAA